AGAGCGAACGCUGGCGGCAGGCCUAACACAUGCAAGUCGAGCGCCCCGCAAGGGGAGCGGCAGACGGGAGAGUAACACGUGGGAACGUACCCUUCAGUUCGGAACAACCCAGGGAAACUUGGGCUAAUACCGAAUACGUCCGUAAGGAGAAAGAUUUAUCGCUGAAGGAUCGGCCCGCGUCUGAUUAGCUAGUUGGUGAGGUAACGGCUCACCAAGGCUACGAUCAGUAGCUGGUCUGAGAGGAUGAUCAGCCUCACUGGGACUGAGACACGGCCCAGACUCCUACGGGAGGCAGCAGUGGGGAAUAUUGGACAAUGGGCGCAAGCCUGAUCCAGCCAUGCCGCGUGGAUGAUGAAGGCCUUAGGGUUGUAAACUCCUGUCAUUUGGGAACAAGCGGCUCACGUUUACUGCGUGAGUCUUGAUAGUACCAGAAGAGGAAGGGACGGCUAACUCUGCGCCAGCAGCCGCGGU
rnacentral:rRNA from 1 species